CCACUCUCAUGUUCACAUGUUACAAGCUAUUAAGUGUGUAUGAAGAGCGAUUAUGAGUAUUACGAGGGAUCCUAAAAACUUUGUGCAGUGCCUUACCUCUGUCGCUGAAAGGGCAUGCAAGACUUCCAUUAUAUGUAAAAGCCUUGCGUGUACAAGCAAUCCGACGGACGAAGAAAGAAUGCUGCCGAUUUGAUCAUUAGAAAAACAUAAACACACGCAUUUCUAUAAAUAUGUAUUUUUUAUAAUAAAAAAUGGGCAAAGGAGCUUUUGUGGAAUACAACUCACAUAACUCUCAGCUGGAGGGUUAAACAUCAUGCUUGUGGAAAUGUGUAUUCUAUGCCUAGAUUGUGUUUCUAUACUGUAGUUAUGGCAUAUAAUCUAUUUUUGUGUGUCUACCCGGUGAUAUGUUUUGUAUCGUCACCGACACGGGCUUUGUGUGCAAUCUGCAUGUAUGUACAGCCACGUAGACACGGUUCUCACACCUAAUAGGAUCAUAUAACUGUGUUUACAGAUUGCAAAAAGAAA